rnacentral:misc_RNA from 1 species
GAACGCAAAUUGCACUCUCUGGUAUUCCGGGGAGUAUGCCUGUUUGAGGGUCAGUUAAAAUAAAAAUCGAUGUGUCGCUUUUGUGACGCUUCGGAAUUGGGUCACCUUGAUCUUUUGGGUUAAGAGGCCUAAAAUUGAUACCUUUCCGAGCAUCUUGGACGUACGUAACCUUUCAAGUGCCGGAUCCUUUUACUAGGUAUGACCAUGCUGUGCGUGGCCUCGUACCUAUAACGUGUAUUCAUAUUUUGACCUCAAAUCAGGUAGGAACACCCGCUGAACUUAAG